rnacentral:rRNA from 1 species
UACAGAGGGUGCAAGCGUUAAUCGGAGUUACUGGGCGUAAAGGGCGCGUAGGCGGAUAUUUAAGUCGAUUGUGAAAUCCCUGGGCUCAACCUAGGAAUUGCAGUCGAUACUGAAUAUCUAGAGUAUGGGAGAGGUAAGUGGAAUUCCCGGUGUAGUGGUAAAAUACGUAGAUAUCGGGAGGAACACCAGUGCGAAGGCGACUUACUGGACCAAUACUGACGCUGAGGCGCGAAAGCGUGGGGAGCAAACA